rnacentral:rRNA from 1 species
UCUCGCCGUGCUCUAUGAAGUUAUAUAAAUGGCUGCAGUAAUCUGACUGUACUAAGGUAGCAUAAUCAUUAGUUUUUUAAUAGGGGACUGGAAUGAAGGGCAAAUGACUUUGCAAGUGGUUUUGUAAAAAAUUGUUGAAAUUAAAUUAAAAGUAAAAAUGCUUUUAUUAAUCCUUGGGACGAGAAGACCCUAGAAGCUUAAAAUUAAAAUUUUUGGUUGGGGCGAUCAAAGGAAGAAAAGAAUCUUUUUUUUUUAAAAAAGGGGUAACUAAGUUACUCUAGGGAUAACAGCGUAAUUUAGUUUAGGAGUUCUUAUUUUAAAUUGAGUUUGCGACCUCGAUGUUGAAUUAAAUGUAGGUUAGAUGGAGAAGUUUAAUUGCGUAGU